rfam:Lactobacillus hominis DSM 23910 = CRBIP 24.179, type strain:CRBIP 24.179, WGS project CAKE01000000 data, contig: 4
UGUUGUCUUCAGGGCAGGGUGAAAUUCCCGACCGGCGGUAAAAGUCCGCGAGCCAAUUUGGCCGAACCAGGAUAUUCUGGUACCGAUAGUAAAGUCUAGAUGAGAGAAGACAGAC